rnacentral:rRNA from 1 species
GACGAACGCUGGCGGCGUGCUUAACACAUGCAAGUCGAGCGGUAAGGCCCCUUCGGGGGUACACGAGCGGCGAACGGGUGAGUAACACGUGAGCAAUCUGCCCAUCACAUCGGGAUAACUCCGUGAAACCGAAGCUAAUACCGAAUACGACCACCUCCGGCAUCGGAUGGUGGUGGAAAGUUCCGGCGGUGAUGGAUGAGCUCGCGGCCUAUCAGCUUGUUGGUGGGGUAACGGCCCACCAAGGCUUCGACGGGUAGCCGGCCUGAGAGGGUGACCGGCCACACUGGGACUGAGACACGGCCCAGACUCCUACGGGAGGCAGCAGUGGGGAAUAUUGGACAAUGGGCGAAAGCCUGAUCCAGCAACGCCGCGUGAGGGAUGACGGCCUUCGGGUUGUAAACCUCUUUCAGCAGGGACGAAGCGCAAGUGACGGUACCUGCAGAAGAAGCACCGGCCAACUACGUG